UUAAUUCAACUCAACACGAAAAAACUCACCCGGCCUGGACACUGUGAAGAUUGACAGCUCUUUCUUAAUUCGGUGGGUGAUGGUGCAUGGCCGUUCUUAUUUGGUGGAGCAAUUUGUCUGGUUAACUCCGAUAUUAGAAACACUAGCUCCUUAAGUAUCCGAAUUGAAAGACAACUGUACGCUCAUAUAUGUAUAUAUAAUGUAUUUCUUCCUUAGAACUUUAAACUACAUAUUCAACUAUUGAUAUGCGUCCCGUUCCCUAGAGAAAGAAGCUAGAUCUCAGUCACUAUCAAUGUCUGAUUGA
rnacentral:ncRNA from 1 species